rnacentral:rRNA from 1 species
UUUCGAGGAGGAAGAUGGGAAGUCAAAGCCUGUCGCUGGCCCUUGCAAAAAGGCAUGUGCACGUCUUUGCUUUUCAUCAACCUUUCUCAUAAUACACACCUGUGCACCUAUUUGUAGGUCUUCGAAAGAAGAUCCUACGUUUUUCACAUCACAUCUAUUGCAUGUCUACAGAAUGUUAAUAAACAAAACAAAAUACAACUUUCAGCAACGGAUCUCUUGGCUCUCGCAUCGAUGAAGAACGCAGCGAAUUGCGAUAAGUAAUGUGAAUUGCAGAUUUCCAGUGAAUCAUCGAAUCUUUGAACGCACCUUGCGCUCCUUGGUAUUCCGAGGAGCAUGCCUGUUUGAGUGUCAUCGAAUUAUCAACCAUGUCUUGAUUGAUUUCAAGUGCAUGGCUUGGACUUUGGGGGUUGCUGGCGGGUCACAAUGCUCAUCAGCUCUCCUGAAAUGCAUUAGCAAUGGGUUGUCUGGUCUGUUGACGUGCACGGCCUUUGACGUGAUAAUGAUCGUCGUGGCUGGAGCGUCUUUAAGGCCAUGCAUGAAUAGCCUAAGCUUCUAAUGAUGAUGAUGGAUUUGGAUUGGAUCUGUUCGUCUUGGAGAAACUGAGCUUCUAGUUACUAGUCGGUCAUGAGGCCGGCGAACACAGAGCAAGGACUUUCUGGACUGUACUUCCUUCCUUUUCAUUCAUUUCGAAA